UAGCGCUGCUGGGUUAGGGUCUCCCUGACCAAGCUGGUAUUGGCAAGUGGCACCCAAUGUGGGGACUCGAACCCAGGUUGAAGGAUCACCGGAGUGAGGGUUGGAGAACGUGGAACUAAGUUGGAGGACACCCGAGUACUCUUAAGCAAUCCCCAUGUCUGCAGAUGUGGAUCCCGACUCCUGUGAGAAGUAGCUCACCGUGAUAAAGCCACCUUUGCUUUUAUUGCCCUGCAAAAACAAGAAGGGGGACAUGCUGGGGAUAUCCCCCAAAUCUGGCCAUAAACUGGCCCCAAAAGUGGCCAUAAACAAAAUCUGCAGCACUGUGAUUUGUUUGCGAUGGCCAUGACACCCAUGCUGAAGGUUGUGGGUUCACCGGAAUGAGGGCAAGGAACACCUGGCCCACCCAGGGUGGAAAACCUCUUAAAGGCAUUCCUAAACCACAAACAAUGGCAGGAGUGAUCUGUGCCUUAAGGACAUGUUCCUGCUGCAGAUAACUAGCCAGAGCCUAUCCCUUUGUUUCAGCCCAUCCCUUUGUUUCCC
rnacentral:lncRNA from 1 species